GAGUUUUAUUUCUUUGUUUUAUUGUUUCUUUUAGGAUGGCUGAUAUUAGACAUGCAUGUGCAUACAGCAAAGGGAGUAAUCCAAUAGUGAGGAAGAAAUUGAUGCUGUAGGAGAGAGGGAAUAAUUGCCGAAGCAAAGAUCUUGAGGUACUGAGAAAGGAUGACCUUAAUUUCCUUAAUGAUGCAGCCUGCUUCCACCGAGGGACUGAAGGCUCUUUGAGCAAAAUUAUCUACCUGUUCACCUUUGGAUCUUUCACAGUUCCCAGGUCAGUGUACUACAGAUUUUACUCACGAAAUAAAAAAUCAUUGUCAUGGUUUACCUAAAUGCCAGAAGUGUUAAUAAUCCAAAUGACGC
rnacentral:lncRNA from 10 species